UACGUAGGGUGCGAGCGUUAAUCGGAAUUACUGGGCGUAAAGCGUGCGCAGGCGGUUCGUUGUGUCUGAUGUGAAAGCCCCGGGCUCAACCUGGGAAUGGCAUUGGAAACUGGCGAGCUAGAGUGUGGCAGAGGGGGGUGGAAUUCCGCGUGUAGCAGUGAAAUGCGUAGAUAUCAAGUGGAACACCAGUGGCGAAGGCGAGUCCCUGGAAAACUCCUGACACUGAGGCACGAAAGCUAGGGGAGCAAACAGG
rnacentral:rRNA from 1 species